rnacentral:rRNA from 1 species
CAGGGAAUCUUCCACAAUGGGCGAAAGCCUGAUGGAGCGACGCCGCGUGAGGGAUGAAGGCUUUAGGGUCGUAAACCUCUUUUCUCAGGGAAGAGCAAGGACGGUACCUGAGGAAUAAGUGACGGCUAACUACGUGCCAGCAGCCGCGGUAAUACGUAGGUCACAAACGUUGUCCGGAUUUAUUGGGCGUAAAGGGUCCGUAGGCGGUUCGGUAAGUCUCCUGUGAAAUCUUCAGGCUCAACUUGAAGAGGUCGGGGGAUACUGCCGGACUUGAGACUGUUAGAGGCAAGUGGAAUUCCCGGUGUAGUGGUGAAAUGCGUAGAUAUCGGGAGGAACACCAGUGGCGAAAGCGGCUUGCUGGGACAGUUCUGACGCUGAGGGACGAAAGCGUGGGUAGCAAACCGG